rnacentral:rRNA from 1 species
CAUACCUCCUUACCGCAUAUCACACAGAAAGUGGGACGGGGUUACCCAAAGUGUCCAUUAUUGGACGGUGGUAGGUGAGUAAUGUCCCCUACUAGAAAGGAGAGGGCAAGGCUGGGGCCACCCGCCGCGGUAAAACCAGCUCUUCAAGUGGUCGGGAUAAUUAUUGGGCUUAGAGGGUCCGUAGCCGGUUUAGUAAGUUCCUGGUAAAAUCAGGUAGCCUAACUAUCUGCAUGCUAGGAAUACUGUUAUACUAGAGGGGGGGGAAGGUCUGAGGUACUAUAGGGGUAGGGGUGAAAUCUUAUAAUCCUUGUAGGACCACCAGUGGCGAAGGCGUCAGACUGGAACGCGCCUGACGGUGAGGGACGAAAGCCAGGGGAGCGAACCGGAUUAGAUACCCGGGUAGUCUUGGCCGUAAACGAUGAUUACUAGGGGAUGGCACGGCCUUGAGCCUGGUCAGUGCCGUAGGGAAACCGUUAAUGUGGCCGCCUGGAAAGUACGGCCGCAAGGUUAAAACUUAAAGAAAUUGGCGGGGGAAAGGGCGAUUUCGUUUAACCCUGCGGGACUAGUCCCUUUAGUGAGGGUUAUUUUUGAGCUUGGCGAAAUCAUGGCAUAGCUGUUUCCCGGAGAAGGCCAAAGGCCAUUCCCCGCCCCCAAAUCAAUUUCCCCCUAUUGGGGGGCGUUUUUACAUUUCCGGGGCCCCGUUUAAAA